rnacentral:lncRNA from 1 species
AAAUUCCAUUAUUUAUGGGAGGAAGAAUGGCUCAGUGGUCAAGAGCAUUGUUUGCUUUCCAAAAUUGGAUUCUAUUCCUAGUACCCACAUUUUUCUCAUCUGAAACUCCAGAUCCAAGGUAUUUUAUGCCCUCUUCUGACCUCUGUGGGCACUGCACAUACAUGCUAUAGGGGCAUACAUGCAGACAAAACACUCAUACACAUAUAACAAUAACAACAAUAGUAAUAAUAAAUGAAAUUUUUCCUUCUUUAUUUCUUCCUUGACUGAUGGGUGUUCAAAAGUAAGUUAUUUAAUUUCAUUCUGUUUAUAGUUUCCAAUGUUUUUUCUUUUUCUUGAUUUCUGACUUUUUGCAUUAUGAUUAGAAAAAAUAUAACCAAUACAAUUUCAAUUCUUCUAAACUUAUCGAGGCUGUUUUUAUUGCAUGUUGUAUAAUCUAUACUACCCAAAGCAUUUAUUAUUAAAUCUAUCCUAGAUACUAUCUUCACAGAGAAAAAUACAUAUUCUGUAGCUGUCAGAAUGCAGUGUUCUAUAACAGUUAGGUCUAUUUGUUCUCAGCUGAAAUUUAACUUGGCCACCUAUUUCUUGAUUCUCCAUUUAGGUGACCUAUCCAUUGCUGGAAGUCAAGUAUCAAUGUCUCUGAUUAUUAUUGUAUUGGAGUCUAUUUCUCCCUCUAGGUCUAUUAAACUUUGAAUUAUACAUUUCAUUUUUAUCUGUCUAGUUACUCUAUGUGUGUUAAUUUAAUAAUUUUUCCACUUACUUUCAAAAUAAUUACUAGUACAUAAGAUCUUACUAUCAGUGUUAUUUAAAGUUAUUUUCUAAUUGUAUUGUAGUCUAUUUUCCUCAUCUCUCUCAGUUUUCCUUUGUGUUAAGCAAAUUGUUCCAGUCAUGUGUUUGAUCCACCACUUAUAAUAUUUGGGUUUCCUAUUACAGAUACUUAACUUGUGGCUACUAUGAGGCAUAUAAAAAUCAUUUAUUUUCUAAAUGUUAGCAACUUCAUGUGGUUAUAAAGAUAACAACAGAAUCAAAAUAGUAAGAAAAAAUAUAAUAAUAAGAACGCUCUCCGUGUACACUUCAUUUCUCCUCAGGUUUUUAAUUUUUAACACUUUACCUUAUGACUUUUAUAUUCCUCAUCUUUUAGUAUAUUAAUGUAUUCAUAUUUUCAUUUUUGCUUUAGUCUUCAUGCUAAAGCUAUGAAUAAUUUAUGCACCAUGCUUACAGAAUUAGAUAAUUCUCAGUUUCUAUAAUUACUCUUUCUUGUGAUUUGGAUGCCUUCCCAUGUUGAAUUUUCACUCAUUAGUAUCUCUUGCUUUUGUGUUUGCUGUGUCAAGGGGCUCAGAAAUAUCUACUCUCAGCUUCUGCUUGGGAAUGCCUUUAUCCCUUCUGCCUUCUUUAGAAGAGAUAACGCUACUGGGGAUAAUAAGUUCAGCUAACAGAUUUUUAGUACUAUGAAAAUCUCCUCGCCGUUUGAGUCCUUGGUUAUAAGGGUAGACAAAAUUGAGUUAAAUUUGCCAAGUGCCAUUUGGCUUUUCGCUACCUGUAUAUUUGAACCCUUCUCAAGGGCUAGAAAAUGUUCUGGUGUUAUCUCUUUUUAUAAAUUGUCCACUCCUUUGCCAUUCUCAGGUCUUUUCUUGAUCAACCAAAUAUUUGCUCUUUUCAUACAGUCCAGAGUUUUCACAAGCUUUCUUCAUUACAAACGUCUAUUUUCAAGACACAUAUAUUCAAGCUGACUUAUGUCUAGUUUACCCUACUUUUAGUCUCUUCCAUAGUGUUGCUAUUGUUGUUGUUGUUGUUAAUUUUGCUGAACGUAUUUUUCUGCUCAAUAAUCUCUGUACAAUUUUUAAUUUCUCCCAUCCUUUGUUAAGUUUCCUUAUUACAUUAUCAACAUAUUUCUUUAAACUUUAAACAACUGUUGUAAAUGCUCCGCUCUAUCUAAGCUAUAUCCUAUACUGAUUGCUAUUUGAUUAGUUUCUGGUACCUUAUUUUCAAUACUAAGUGAAAUUAUGUUUUCCUGAAAGCCCUUGAUGUUUGUUGCAUGUAGUAGCACCCUGACAUUGAAGGGUUUAUUAUUUAUAACAGCUUUAGUUGUGCCUAUCUUAAAAGAAAUUCUAAGCAGGGUGCUUACUUUCUCAGAGCCUGAAGUUACUUCCAUUGUUUUGGCACUGAAUAACACCCAGGCACAAAUUUGCUGAGAAUCUGCUGUGGAUGCGUUGUCAACAUUUUUAGGCCUAUACAGCAAUCCACAUGCUGGUUUGCCCCAAAUAAACUAUUGGCAUUUCUUAAGAAGGAACAGGAGAGGACCAGAGGGACGGCGCUGCUAGUAAAGGUGUUUGUCAUCAAGCAUGACAACUUGAGAUCAAUUCCCAGGACCAAUGUGGUAGAAGGAGAGAACUGACUCCCACAGGUUGACCUGUGAUCUCUGUAUAUGUGCUGUAGCAUGAACACACCCACACACAUACACAUACACACACAAAAAAUUCCCUUGAAAAUAUAACGAAGAUAGAGUUGUGAAAGAAAUGG